AUUGAACGCUGGCGGCAGGCUUAACACCUGCAAGUCGAGCGAGCGGCGGACGGGUGAGUAAUGUCUGGGAAACUGCCUGAUGGAGGGGGAUAACUACUGGAAACGGUAGCUAAUACCGCAUACCAUCAGAUGUGCCCAGAUGGGCUUGGCUAGUAGGUGUGGAAAUGGCUCACCUAGGCGACGAUCCCUAGCUGGUCUGAGAGGUUGACCAGAAACACUGGAACUUAGACACGUGCCAUAAUCCUACGGGAGGCAGCAGUGGGGAAUAUUGCACAAUGGGCGCAAGCCGGAUGCAGCUGUGCCGCGUGUGUGAAGAAGGCCGUCGGGUUGUAAAGCACUUGCAGCGAGGAGGCGUUACUCGCAGAAGAAGCACCGGCUAAGUCCGUGCCAGGAGCCGCGGUAAUUC
rnacentral:rRNA from 1 species